CCAAACUUGGUCAUUUAGAGGAAGUAAAAGUCGUAACAAGGUUUCCGUAGGUGAACCUGCGGAAGGAUCAUUGCUGAUGCCGGCGGCAGCGUCGAGCCCUCGCGAGGGGGUGAGGCCUGCCGCUUCCAACAUCAUCUGCCCCUUUGUGAACCUGGCACUGGCUGCGCUGAAGCGCGAGCGAGCUUUGGGGCCCGCUCGUCCUCCCCUCCUCUUGCGAGGAGGGGAUAGGCCGCCUCUGCCCAAACAACCUGUCUUUUAUUGCCUGUCUCCCCAGACUGAAGCAACAAAAAACAAAAACAUAUCUUACAACUUUUAACAAUGGAUAUCUUGGCUCGCGCAUCGAUGAAGAACGCAGC
rnacentral:misc_RNA from 1 species